rnacentral:rRNA from 1 species
GGCCUAACACAUGCAAGUCGAGCGGUAACAGGACUAGCUUGCUAGUUGCUGACGAGCGGCGGACGGGUGCGUAACACGUAGGAAUCUGCCCGGUAGUGGGGGAUAGCCCGGAGAAAUCCGGAUUAAUACCGCAUACGCCUUACGAGGGAAAGAAGGGGCCUCUUCGGAGCCUUUCGCUAUCGGAUGAGCCUGCGUCGGAUUAGCUAGUUGGUGGGGCAAAGGCCUACCAAGGCGACGAUCCGUAGCUGGUCUGAGAGGAUGAUCAGCCACACUGGGACUGAGACACGGCCCAGACUCCUACGGGAGGCAGCAGUGGGGAAUAUUGCACAAUGGGGGAAACCCUGAUGCAGCCAUGCCGCGUGUGUGAAGAAGGCUCUAGGGUUGUAAAGCACUUUCAGCGAGGAGGAAAGG